rnacentral:rRNA from 1 species
UCGGAUUGUAGGCUGAAAUUCGCCUACAUGAAGCCGGAAUUGCUAGUAAUGGCAGGUCAGCAUACUGCCGUGAAUACGUUCCCGGGCCUUGUACACACCGCCCGCCACACCAUGGGAGCCGACAACGCCCGAAGUCAGUGACCUAACCGAGAGGGAGGAGCUGCCGAAGGCGGGGUUGGUAACUGGGGUGAAGUCGUAACAAGGUAUC